rnacentral:misc_RNA from 1 species
GUUUCCGUAGGUGAACCUGGGGAAGGAUCAUUACAGUAGUCGCCUGGGUUGCCGCAAGGCCUCCCGGGUAACCUACCACCCUUUGUUUAUUACACUUUGUUGCUUUGGCAGGCCUGCCCUCGGGCUGCUGGCUCCGGCCGGCGAGCGCUUGCCAGAGAACCUAAACUCUGUUUGUCUAUACUGUCUGAGUACUAUGUAAUAGUUAAAACUUUCAACAACGGAUCUCUUGGUUCUG